rnacentral:piRNA from 1 species
UGGGAAAGAUCUCAUUCAGGCCCAG